GACGAACGCUGGCGGCGUGCUUAACACAUGCAAGUCGAACGAAGAGCGAUGGAAGCUUGCUUCUAUCAAUCUUAGUGGCGAACGGGUGAGUAACGCGUAAUCAACCUGCCCUUCAGAGGGGGACAACAGUUGGAAACGACUGCUAAUACCGCAUACGAUCUAAUCUCGGCAUCGAGGAAAGAUGAAAGGUGGCCUCUAUUUAUAGGCUAUCACUGAAGGAGGGGAUUGCGUCUGAUUAGCUAGUUGGAGGGGUAACGGCCCACCAAGGCGAUGAUCAGUAGCCGGUCUGAGAGGAUGAACGGCCACAUUGGGACUGAGACACGGCCCAGACUCCUACGGGAGGCAGCAGUGGGGAAUCUUCCGCAAUGGACGAAAGUCUGACGGAGCAACGCCGCGUGGGUGAUGACGGCCUUCGGGUUGUAAAGCUCUGUUAAUCGGGACGAAAGGCCUUCUUGCGAACAGUUAGAAGGAUUGACGGUACCGGAAUAGAAAGCCACGGCUAACUACGUG
rnacentral:rRNA from 1 species